GAUGAACGCUGGCGGCGUGCCUAAUACAUGCAAGUCGAGCGAACAGAUAAGGAGCUUGCUCCUUUGACGUUAGCGGCGGACGGGUGAGUAACACGUGGGUAACCUACCUAUAAGACUGGGAUAACUUCGGGAAACCGGAGCUAAUACCGGAUAACAUUUGGAACCGCAUGGUUCUAAAGUGAAAGAUGGUUUUGCUAUCACUUAUAGAUGGACCCGCGCCGUAUUAGCUAGAUGGUAAGGUAACGGCUUACCAAGGCAACGAUACGUAGCCGACCUGAGAGGGUGAUCGGCCACACUGGAACUGAGACACGGUCCAGACUCCUACGGGAGGCAGCAGUAGGGAAUCUUCCGCAAUGGGCGAAAGCCUGACGGAGCAACGCCGCGUGAGUGAUGAAGGGUUUCGGCUCGUAAAACUCUGUUAUUAGGGAAGAACAAACGUGUAAGUAACUGUGCACGUCUUGACGGUACCUAAUCAGAAAGCCACGGCUAACUACGUG
rnacentral:rRNA from 1 species